CCCUAACAUCACUCGACCCCUUUAACCGCACUGAGAACUUCUAUAAAAUUAUAGAACCUUUUAUGCUAAAACUAGUAACAAGAGGUAACCCCUCUCUAUAAUGUAAGUAAAAGCCAGCAAGAACCCACCACUGGCAACUGACAGACCUAAAUAAAAGUAAUAACCACUCCCCAGAAAACCCUACUUCACCCCCGCUGUUAACCUAAUACCAGAACAUUUCAAGAAAGAUUAAAAGAAAGAGAAGGAAUUCGGCAAAAAUUAGCCCCGCCUGUUUACCAAAAACAUCGCCUCUUGCCCAUAUAAGAGGUCCAGCCUGCCCAGUGACUUCUGUUCAACGGCCGCGGUAUCCUAACCGUGCAAAGGUAGCGUAAUCACUUGUCUUCUAAAUAGAGACCAGUAUGAAAGGCAUCACGAGGACUAAACUGUCUCCUCUCCCUAAUCAGUGAACCUAAUAACCCCGUGAAGAAGCGGGGAUUUUUAUAUAAGACGAGAAGACCCUAUGGAGCUUAAAACAUCAUAACACCUGCCAUCCACUUUAUUUACCCAGGUCUACCCCCCCCCCCCAUGGCACCCUGAUUAUAUGUUUUUGGUUGGGGUGACCGCGGAGAAAAAUCCAUCCUCCACAAUGAAAGGGAGUUUCCCUAAGCAGUAAGCCACAACUUUAUGUAUCAGUAAGCUGACAUCAUUGACCCAAUAUAUUUGAUUAACGAACCAAGUUACCCUAGGGAUAACAGCGCAAUCCACUUUGAGAGCCCCUAUCGACAAGUGGGCUUACGACCUCGAUGUUGGAUCGGGGUAUCCUAGUGGUGCAGCCGCUACUAAAGGUUCGUU
rnacentral:rRNA from 1 species